GCCUGGGUGGCUCAGUCGGUUGAGCGUCCCACUUCGGCUCAGGUCAUGAUCUCACAGUUUGUGGGUUCGAGCCCCGCAUCAGGCU
rnacentral:tRNA from 1 species